GGUGAGGUGGCUGAGCGGCCGAAAGCGAUUGCUUGGAGAGCAAUUAUGCAGGAAACUGCAUCGUGGGUUCGAAUCCCACCCUCACCG
rfam:Candidatus Wildermuthbacteria bacterium RIFCSPHIGHO2_01_FTLL_49_22b rifcsphigho2_01_scaffold_1707, whole genome shotgun sequence.